AAUGGUGAUCUGCAACUCCACCCCAACAGAUGAAUGAUGAAGUGAUAGAAGGUUUAAGAGGAAAGCUUAGAACCAUAUGCUUUCUAUAUAUAUAAACAUAUAACAUAUUAGUAUAUACCCUUUUUAGUUUUCCAAUGAUUUUAUUAUUUUUCAAAUCUAAUUAAAGAUGAACAACUGAUUUCCAAAUAAAUUUUUUCCCAUCAAUUUUGAUUCAAGCUUUCAUCAAAUCAGAUGGAAAAAAUGGUUCUUCGUCAUCAGUUCAGUAACUAACAAGAAGGCCUCCCUUUCAUCGGUCGAUUAUCAGCCAUUGGAUUGACCAAAAGCAGAUUGGACCGGGAGGAGAUGGGAAAAUCCUAACCGGUGGUAGUUGGAAAAAUGAAUGUAUCUCAGCUGUUGCGUGACACAACAAACCCUCCUGUUUUAUAAGCAUUGAUUCCUUUGGUAUAUAUUUUGUUAUGUUAUAUCUUUGGGAUACAUAUGAAUUGGGAUAUUCUUCAACCAAUUUUUCAUCAUAUGUGAAUGUAAAACAGCAGUAGCAUAUGUAUCAGUCUGUUGUAUUAUUGGGUCCGCGAUUUGUGAUAUUGAUAUACCAUCUAAAGUCGCAGAAGUAAAAAUUUAUUUGUCAA